UGCGAAUAGACAAUUUGUCUAUGAAUUACCUUUCUAUAACCCCGCCUCUUUCGAGGAGUCCAUUGGCCGCAUCUUUAGGGGCGGGGUUUGUAAUAAACCUUGUGCUUGGUAAUGUUUGUCCGCAUUCUCAAACUGAGUUAUCGCUGCUUGGACGUGAGCACAUAUCGGUGAUCUGUCGCGGUCCUCAACAAGUUCUUGCUCCGGAGAACGCCAGGCAGUAUCCUGCAGCAGGACUGUAACGGCGCAAUGAUGAACAGGAACGGAAUGGUCACAAAGAUUCGCACGCGGAUAAGGACCGACCUCUUCAAGAACAACUACGACCUGGUCGGCAAAGAGCUUGGCAGGUAAACCACUUUAAAUGAUCGACUCUAAAGACGAAUUAGCGCGUUUAAAAGAUUAAAAUGUGUACAAUAAGUGUAGUCAUAUGCCUGCAGGCAGUUUCACAAAGUUGAGAACCGGCGUGAGAUUUAAUUGGGGAGUGAAUCAUUGGCAGCUGGAAGCCAGGAAGAGAUUUGUUUGGCUCCAGCACGUGUAAUCUGAGGAUCAGCCAGAUAGAUUUGAGCCCUUAUUGCAGCUUGCCAAUAUUGCAAGCGAAAUACGCGAAUUAUUAAAAUGAUGGUUAAUGGCACGUACACUUGUGCAUCUUUGCGUUUAUUAUAAUGAGACCGUUCUCUGGUUCGCUUAGUUGGUGUAGAUCAACAGGGACUGCAAUCAAGAUGAAUUAGUAGAAUUUCUUCUCUGAAACAAUAUGUUAAUUCAACGAAUCGUUGUCGUUCACUUCCAUGCAUUGACUCAUAUUUUCGUCCACUGAAAUUUUGUGAAGCGCAUAACUGCUUUGUUGGCUUUCCUUCCUUCAAAGAUUGACUAUA
rnacentral:lncRNA from 1 species